rnacentral:sRNA from 1 species
GCCAGGUGUGGUGGCUCACACCUGUAAUCCUAGCACUUGGGGAGGCUGAGGCAGGUGGAUCCCUUGAACCCAGGAGUUCAAGAUCAGCCUGGGGAAUGUGGUAAAACCCUGGCUCUACAAAAAAUACAAAAAUUAGCUGGGCAUGGUGGUGUACACCUGUAGUUCCAGCUACUCAGAAGGCUGAGGUAGGAGGAUCUCUUGAACCAGGGAGGUCAAGGCUGCAGUGAGCUGAGAUCAUGCCACUGUAUUCCAGCCUGGGUGACAAAGUGAGACCCUGUCUCA